ensembl:lncRNA
CUGCUGACAGCUUGGCAGCUCCAAAAGGGAUGUAGAGAUUGUGUCAAUGGCUUGGAACGUCCCAUGACUUUAAGGUGUCAUGGCCAAGGGCUGGCCACUUGGCUUCAUGAGCCACGUGGAGGUACUCAGAGUGGCUUUAAGGGCAAAGAGGGACAUGGGGGGGGACAUGGAGACCUGCUGGUGGGGCUCAUAGUGUUGUGUAGGAAACACCCAAGGCAGGAGAUGGGUGAACCAAACCCUGAGGGACCAGAAUGGAUUUUCCUUGGUGGUUUCUGGAGUGAGACCAAAGAAGUUCUUGUCAUUCACCAGUUCCUGGACAAAGAGUGUUUUUCCUUGGUUUUACUCCUAACCCACGCAGUAGUGAUGCUGGCGGUGAAUCCAUCCCAGGUUUUGCUCUUGCUCACCACAGCUCAGAGCUGCCUGCCCAGCAUCAAAGGAUUCUGAGGAUUUUUCAGUAUUUUUCCUCCUUCUCCAUAAUGUCACAGCCAUUGGGUUGCCUGCCAUUUCACCCUUGCUACGGGCAGAGGAUGGUGCUCACCAACAGCAUUCUUACCUUCACCAGCAGUGCUACCAAGUGGCUGUGUACACCAAAGCAGUGGCGUAGUGAUUGCUGUUGCUCCAAAAAGCAAUGGAUAUCACCCAAAAGUCACCUCCACCACACAGGCCAGAUGAAGAGGAUGGAUGUUUUUGCAAGACGCACCUUGCUGAUGCUUGGGUCCAGCCCUGCAUUAACUCCAUGUCCAAUUGCAUCUCCAGAGCCUAAAUUACUCUCGCUCUAAAAAUACUGGGUAAUUAAUUUACCUCGCUGGAUGUAAUUCAGACUGGUGACACAGUAGUGAACUUCUUUGUUGCUUUUGACUCUGGCAGCAGUGAAGAUGGGGACUUUUGUCAGCUCCCUCCCAAGCAGCCUGUCUGCUCUCAUCUACCAGCAAGACCAGAAGAUGCUGGAUGAUGCUCAGGGCUUGGCUGUCAGCAUUGUGGCCAUUUCAGGGACUGUAUAAUUAUUGAAUUACUCAAUUACUCCAGCCCAGCCUCUUCAUUUCUCGCGAUCCAUUUUCUUUUGUCAAGGUUGCUAAGGAACUACCUGCUGGCUUUGGAUGCCUCGAUCAGGCAAGCUUCUCCUCCCUGCACCUCCUUGCAAGGCUUUGCUGGCCAGAUGUGCCAGACAGAGCUGAAAUCCCAAUGCUAAGAGGCUGAGUGUGCUUGGGCUAUCAGUGCACGUAUGGCCAUCUAUCCCAUGGGCUCAGCUCCGCAGCUGCAAAAGGAGCAGUGGGGCCACCCAUGCUCUGAAAUCACCCAGCACUUUGCAAACUCCACAAGGAUUAUUGAAGCUGGCUUGAUGUGCAUUAAAACCUGAGCGUGCACCUCUCCUCUUAUGCUCGGGUUUCAUAGUGAUGCUCUUUGCUUUUUAUGGCCAUUCUCCAAUGUGCGAUGUUCAGGAAUCUUCUGGCUUCACCCCGUUUGGAGCAGCCCCAGCUCCCUGCACCUGGAAAGCCAACGGCUUGCCAGCAAAUCACUCGGCCCUAAAAGUCUCCCCGACCCCACAGUCAAAUCAUUUCAAGAAACUCAAUUAGAGUGACGUGACAUUUCCAAGGAAACACCGAGGAGGCAUUCCGGUAAUAUUUUGGCCCUGCCAAAGCAGUUCAGAUGGCAAAUCAAUAAUAAACAUUUAAGGUUAGAUGUAUUAAAAAAAAAAUAAAAAUAAAAAUCAAGUUAUCAAUUUCCCAUUAUGCCUAAGCUCCCA